rnacentral:rRNA from 1 species
UGGGGAAUAUUGCACAAUGGGCGAAAGCCUGAUGCAGCAACGCCGCGUGAGUGAUGAAGGCCUUCGGGUUGUAAAGCUCUGUCUUCUGGGACGAUAAUGACGGUACCAGAGGAGGAAGCCACGGCUAACUACGUGUCAGCAGCCGCGGUAAUACGUAGGUGGCAAGCGUUGUCCGGAUUUACUGGGCGUAAAGGAUGCGUAGGCGGAUACUUAAGUCAGAUGUGAAAAUCCCGGGCUUAACUUGGGAACUGCAUUUGAAACUGGGUAUCUAGAGUGCGGGAGAGGAAAGUGGAAUUCCUAGUGUAGCGGUGAAAUGCGUAGAGAUUAGGAAGAACACCAGUGGCGAAGGCGACUUUCUGGACCGUAACUGACGCUGAGGCAUGAAAGCGUGGGGAGCAAACA